rnacentral:lncRNA from 1 species
GUUGAUUUUAUGGUUUUUAAUAUAUUUCCCUUGGAUUUUUAUGACAUUGGUGUUUAUAUCUUGGGAAGGUGGCAGAAACAGAGUGUGUUUUCUUGAUGAUGAAGUGACAGUACCACUUGGCACAAUGCGAGCUACAGGAGACUUUGUGACUGUGAAAGAUGGAGAGAUUUUUUUUUUGGGACGAAAAGACAGUCAGAUCAAACGUCAUGGCAAACGUCUUAACAUUGAACUUGUGCAACAGAUGCUUCAGUAAAAGAAUACAUCUUUAAAGAACUGCAGAAAUAUCUUCCAAGUCAUGCAGUCCCGGAUGAGCUUGUAUUGAUCGAUUCUCU